rnacentral:rRNA from 1 species
AGAUUUGAUCAUGGCUCAGAACGAACGCUGGCGGCAGGCUUAACACAUGCAAGUUGAACGUGAUUUGUUGGGUGCUUGCACCGAGCAAUGAAAGUAGCGCACUGGUGAGUAACACGUGGGAACGUACCUUUUGGUGGGGAACAACAGUUGGAAACGACUGCUAAUACCGCAUAAGCCCUGAGGGGGAAAGAUUUAUCGCCGAAAGAACGGCCCGCGGAAGAUUAGGUAGUUGGUGGGGUAACGGCCUACCAAGCCGACGAUCUAUAGCUGGUCUGAGAGGACGAUCAGCCACAUUGGAACUGAGACACGGUCCAA